rnacentral:rRNA from 2 species
GGUCAGGCUUAAUUGUCUGCACUGGUGAGAUGAAUCUCUACCUUCUGAGGAACUUUCAUGCCAUUUAUUUGGUGUGAUUGGAAAUCAGGACUGUUACUUUGAAAAAAUUAGAGUGUUUAAAGCAGGCUAACGCUUGAAUACAUUAGCAUGGAAUAAUGAAAUAGGACGUUCGAUCUUAUUUUGUUGGUUUCUAAGGUUGACGUAAUGAUUAAUAGGGAUAUUGGGGGCAUUAGUAUUCAAUUGUCAGAGGUGAAAUUCUUGGAUUUAUUGAAGACUAACUACUGCAAAAGCAUUUGCCAAGGAUGUUUUCAUUAAUCAAGAACGAAAGUUAGGGGAUCGAAGACGAUCAGAUACCGUCGUAGUCUUAACCAUAAACUAUGCCGACUAGGGAUCGGAUGAUGUUAAUUUUUAAUGACUCAUUCGGCGCCUUACGGGAAA